AAAAAAAGUCAGAUAAGUCUUAAAUGAAACAUAUGAGUUUAUGGAAUCUACAGGUUCAUCUUCUUUGUCUGCCAAACAUCUAGGCCAUUCGUUAUGCUUUUUAUGGGAUGAAAGAGGCUUUUGGUUUUGUGCCUUCAUGGCUUCUAUGACUAAGGUAUAGCACCUUCUUUGUGAUGUUUAUAACGGCAUCAUCAGUGGAAUUGGGUUAAUGUGUAGUGGCUCGCCUGUUAUUAAGGGAUCAGAAUCUCCUCAGAUCCGUGAAAAUGCAAAGUUAGAGAGGAUUAGGAAGAGAUUGUGCUUUUAUUUCUACGCAUGUUGAUCCCAUGAAAGUGAAGCUCAUUCUUCUCUUCCUAAUUUUCUUCAUUGUGAAAUUCUUUUCGGUUUCAAAUAGUGAAAUCCAUC